rnacentral:lncRNA from 14 species
AUGAGACAGGAACAUCAGCUGGAACCUGCUGCACACGGAGAGCUUCAGCUUGCCCAGCAACCACCACUCCUGGAAGGGCAAAGGACACGAGGAGCACCAGAGGGGACUGCGCGUUGCUGCAGAGAAAGGCAGCAGUGCAGGUUCUUGACAGCAGGGGCUCCUUCCCAUGCUGCUCCCUGUGUUCAGCUGCUCGCUCCCUUCCUCCUUCCUUCAUGGGCACUUCACUGGUUCCAGGACCCAACCAGACAGAGCAAUGCUUCUCCUAAUUUUCACUACCAAGAAGAGCAGAUGGGAGGGGAGAAAGAAGAAAAUAGCAAAGAGGAAAGAGAGAGAUGACACCAGUAAACAAGAAGUGCACUGUCUGAUAACAAAUCGUACAGUGAAUAAGGACAGACGCUGCAGACAAGCGUUUGCUAUGAACACUGCCAACUGGGGGAAAAUUUGCACUCAGAAGAGGUGGUAACACUGCUGCAAACAAGAACUACUACAGGAACACUACGAGUGCAGCAGAGAGAGUCCCUUCACGUGGAACAGCACGCAGGGCAUCACGCACAGUGAGUCUGCGCUCUGCAGGCAGGCGGGACUGAGGUCAGAGAACACAGACUGCUCUCACAUGGCACAGCAAGCAAUGGGGAGUUACACCUGAUGUCCGUAAAUGGCCCCAGGGAGACAAAAGACGGCAACAGCCACCAAAAUUGGGGCACAAAACCCCUUCUGCCUGCGCCAGUCACCCACAGGAUUAACCUGCAAACUGUGUAGACACAACAUCAAGUCCCUGUCACCUCCACCUCUGCAACAGAAAUGGGGGUAAUGACAGGAGUCUCUCCUGAAUUUAAUAAACCCCUGUGCAUGUUCUGCUGUGUCUGUAAU